rnacentral:rRNA from 1 species
CCUACGGGGGGCAGCAGUGAGGAAUAUUGGUCAAUGGACGAGAGUCUGAACCAGCCAAGUAGCGUGAAGGAUGACUGCCCUAUGGGUUGUAAACUUCUUUUAUAUGGGAAUAAAAUGUUCCACGUGUGGGAUUUUGUAUGUACCAUAUGAAUAAGGAUCGGCUAACUCCGUGCCAGCAGCCGCGGUAAUACGGAGGAUCCGAGCGUUAUCCGGAUUUAUUGGGUUUAAAGGGAGCGUAGGUGGAUUGUUAAGGCAGUUGUGAAAGUUUGCGGCUCAACCGUAAAAUUGCAGUUGAAACUGGCAGUCUUGAGUACAGUAGAGGUGGGCGGAAUGCGUGGUGUAGCGGUGAAAUGCUUAGAUAUCACGAAGAACGCCGAUUGCGAAGGCAGUUCACUGAACUGCAACUGACACUGAGGCUCGAAAGUGUGGGUAUCAAACAGGAUUAGAUACCCCUGUAGUC